CAGCCAAUUUCGCAGGUUCCCAAUUCAAACUGGUUGGAAAGGUUGCCACAGGUUUGUCUGACUUCUUCACUGUCCCAUCCAAGAGGAUAGAGAGCACAACCAGAGCCAAUCAACAAACCUCCCAGGAACUGGAUGCCUCCUGCCACCCUGCCCACGGUCCUGGAGAUGAGCUCGGACACGCAGCAGCCCAUGAGGGCCGUGAGGGCCACCAGGAGGAGCAGCCCGCAGCCCAGGCCCGUCACCACCGUGCAGAUCCGCCACUCGGUGCUGGGGAUGGCCUGGAAGGAGGCGUAGCGGCCGCACUGCUCCACCAUGAUGGUCGUUUGGCGGCUCUCAUCCCGCACCGGGUAGGAACACCUCCGGAAAGUGCCAAAGGAAACCGAUUUCUCCAGCUGAGACCCCAAGAGCCAGUAGGGCAUGAAGAAGCCCACGCAGGAUGCCGCUGCGCAGAGGAAGGAGAGGAAGGCCCAGACCAUGCCAGCACAGGUGAGGCUGGAGGCCAUCUUCACGUUGGCACCAAGCCCCUCACAGUGGGGAGACAGAAAGACCCUCUGUAUUUUAGAACGUUAGGGAUAAUCCAGAGUCUCUCAGCCUUGGCAAAUCCUCACACUGGGAGAAGCUCGGAUCCUAAAAGCCAGGAGGAUGUUUCGUCCCAUCAUGAAGACAGAGGUCUCGCACGCCGGGCGCGGGGGCUGCCGCCGCGGGUGCCGGCAGCACAUGGGCGCGGGGCCCGGCUGCGGGGCCGGCGGGUGGCGGCCGCCCCAAGCGACUCUCGCCGCGGUCCCGGAGCGGAGGCGACGCAGGCGGGACCGGCACCGGGACCCUCCCCGCACCACCCCGGCCCUUCCUUCCCUCCCUUCUCCGUACGUCUGAUUCCUCGGGAGGCACCGCGCUCCGCCGCUUCUCCUCCCCCUUCCCCCGCCGCCGCCUCCCCGGGCGGGACUCGCCGCGGCCGGGGCCGGGGGCGAGGGGACGGGAGGAACCUCCCCGAGGCGUCCCGGGGCGGGGCUGGGGGUCCCGGGGGGCCCUGGCGCUCCGAGGCUGGGGGCGGCAGGGAGGCAGUGGGGGAGAGGGCAGAGGAGGGGGAAAAAGCCGGCGGGGAGGGAGG
rnacentral:lncRNA from 1 species